rnacentral:tRNA from 1 species
GCUGGUGAAGUUCAUAUCGGUUGAACGGCGGUCCUGUAAACCGUAGGUAGCAGGUUCGAAUCCUGUCACCAGCU